CUGAUAUAUAUAUUAGGAUUAUUAAAGUCUAACUGGUACUGUUCUAAUUGUGCUUGACCUUGUAGUGUCAUUUUAUACAUGUUUGGUUGAGUUGGACUCAUUUAAUUUCGUUUAAUUAAAAAAACAAAAUGUUUAUAGGACUGGAUUUGGGUGCAUGUGGCUGAUAUUUGGGUGUAUCUGACUGAUAUUUGGGUGUAUAUCUUUGAUAUUUGGGUGUAUUUUUUUAUAUAUUGACAGUAUCUCUUUUUUAUUGCAGUAAAAAUGGCAACCAAGAACCAAGCAAACCAAAGACUUGAAGUGUGCCACCAGAUUACUGAGUGAAAAAUUUGAAAAUAUGAGCGAGGCAAAGAAAGCGAUUGUUCGGGAAUUAGGUUUUGCUGGACUGAUGCACAUCCCGCCAUUAAGGGUGCAUCACAAACUAUUAAAGGAGUUGGCUAACUCCUUUAAAUUGGGGAAAAACACACUCGAAACAAGCUAUGGUUCCUUUAAAGUUAAACCCAGCACAAUAUGGGCUGCACUUGGCCUCAAUGCAUCAGGAGAUCUAUUUCCUGAGAAAGUCAGUUAUAAGGAACUUUCUGAAGAGAACAAACAAAUUUUUAGAAGAUUCCAGGGGAAGACUCUAAAGAAUCUGACCGAUGAGAUGAUGAGUAUUGGUGUUGAAAAUGAAUAAGAUCGCCUGAUGUUCAAGAGGAUUUUCAUCCUCUAUAUAUAGAUGGCGUUCUUGUUACCAACAACAAUAAACAAAAUCUCUCCUGUGCACCUAGCUCCAAUUUUUAAGAUGGACAAAUUACAAUCUGAAAAAGAAAAAAUCAAUCGAUGGCUGCCUCUUUGCCUUGAUGAUAGUCUAUUUCCAUAUGUCAAAAAACAAAGACAAGAAAGGAGAAAAAAGACCAGGACGACCCUGGGUUACCAACUGGAAUAGAGAGCAGUUGGUUGAAAGGAUGAGAGUAGAAAUAGAUGGACAUAUGGUAAGUGAAUAGAAUACCUUGGGUGUAUUUUAUUUACGUAGAUGAUGUAAACUAAUAUUUCUACUGUUUCAGGGAAUCAUAAAGAUGACAGAAACAAAAAAGAAAUUGAAACAAAUGAAGGAAAAAGAAAAGAAAGAAAAAAACAAAAAAAGUAGGCAAGUUCAUCAUCAUCUCAGAGUGAUACAUCUGAAACUGAAGUUGAUUCUUCCUCUGAGUCUGAGUCUGAAGAAGACUCAGAGGAACUAAAAAGGAAACAACCCACCAGAACGGUUAAAAAAAUGAAAUCCAAAAAAAGGAAGCAGAUUCAAGAGGAUUCCAAUUCAGAAACUAAAUCGAAUGAUAAGACGUAAUCCAAAAAGAGAAAGCCCAUUGUUGAGGAUUCGUCUCCUGAACAAACUCAAUUGUAUGAUGGAUCUGAAAUUGAAACUGAAGUAUUAGAAGAAUUCUUAAGGGAAUCAAAAAAGAAGAAAAACAAUGAAAAAGCUUCUGCAUAGGGGUUUGUUAUAUUUAGGGUGUAUAUUACCGAUUUUAAGGUGUUUUGGUUGCUGAUAAUUGUUUUUGGUUUUCCAAGAAGAAGGGAGUUGACCUGCGAUCGACAGAAGGUCACUAUGACUCAUCCAAAAUAAUGCCCGAGGUAAACUUAGGAAUUGAGAAUGAUCCUUUGUCUCAAGAACAAACAGAUCAAAGCAGCAUAAACAAACUGGCAGAUAGCAUGUUAAGUCUGGUAUAAGAAUUAGCCAAUGACCCAGCUCAACAGAACAUGAUGGUUGUGCAGACGGAGACACAUUCACAACCUGAAGCGCUUUCAAUAGUUUCGAUUCAAGUUUAUGUCCCACAAAGUCUCCGAGAGAGAAAAUUAGUGAAGAAAGAAUAGAAAGCACUCGACAACCCCCGAAAUCUGAUGAAAGUACACCCACAGUUCCACCAGCUCCAUCUAAAAUUAAUCCAGCCCUAGAAGACGCUGCUGCACUGAUGAUGAUGGCCCGGACAGCAUCCUACAUACCUAAAGAAGGUUUGAUGCCAUCAUUCAGCCUUGGCUUGAUUGAUUCAAGCCAAGAAGAAGCACCGACGCAAGAGGGGAAGAGGGCAAAAAGUCCUAAAACACCAAAACUAAUCGAACAAUUAGAGGAACUGGUGAAAAAAUUACAAACAGUGGGGUGAAGACAGCAUUGGAUUAUGCAAAAGGUAAAAGACCACCGAUUGAAAAGCAAAGUGGCGAAGAAAUUUUUGAAAAGUUUGAAACUCCUAUGAAGAUCAACAAGAUGUCGACUGAAAUGAAAGAGAAAUGCUACGUCUAGGCCACACGUGUGAAGACAUAUGGAGAUGGAAGCACUAAUGAGUAUGACCCCGUGUGCACACUCAAAGCCCAAGAUCGAUUCAUUUUGUCAAAAGUCCACUUUGCAUCUCUGAAAGCUGCUACACAUAUAGAAGCUGAGAUUGUCACUGCCAUGUGCCUCAUCCUUAACCAACAAAACAUUA